CGGAGCGUAGCGCAGAGGCAGCGCGCCUGCUUUGGGAGCAGGCGGUCGCGGGUUCGAUCCCCGCCGCUCCGA
rnacentral:tRNA from 1 species